UGCCCUAUAGUUCAGUUGGUAGAAUGCUUGAUUGUUAAUCAAGAUGUCGCUGGUUCGAGUCCAGCUGGGGCAG
rnacentral:tRNA from 1 species